GCUCGCUUCGGCGACCCAUACACUGAAACAGGAGCCAUACAGAGACGACUAGCACGGCCCUAUGCAAGGAUGGCAUGUGGAUUCACUAAGCGUUCCGUAUUUAA